GCUAGAGACCAGCCGAAGCUGAUGCGGAUGUCCUGCACGUGCCGGGGGCCGUACUGGCGGGCGGUCUCGGCGAAGGCCAGAACACUGACAGUGAUGUCAACGGACCCGUUUCCAAGGAGCAUCCCCCGCGAGGACAGCAGCCAGCCUGGACCCUGAGCGAGCAGAGCAGGUGGGGUGUUCUUCGAACCGGGUCCUUCGGAAGAGGAGCGCCCCGCAGCAGCUGCCCCCGGGCCCUCCGUCCACCCACUUGUCUGGGCCAUGGUUCUGAGAGCAUCAUGCCAAGGCUUCCUGGAUACGAUCCCACCCCGUUACUCCUCUCCGUGGCUUCCCAAGGUCCUCUUCACUGGAUUUAGACCCACACAGCCGGUCUCUGGGGGCCGGCCGCAGCUGACUGCCGCUGUCAUUCUCUGAAGCGCACACCCGGGCUGUUGGUCCCCCAGGCUCUUGGCACCAGGCAAGCCUGCCUGCUCCCACUUGACCAAGGUCUCCCACAGGGCCAGCAUCCCCUGGCGAGGAGGCAGGCCUGCCCCAGAGGAAGCCCUAGGCCCCCACGGUCUGGGCUUCAAAUGCCAUGGCCUUGACCGUAGAGCUGGCCCGGAUGCCAGACCCAGCUCAGGCCUCACCCCGAUAGCACAGGCCUCUGAUAGCUGACCCCAAGGAGCCCCAGGGCAGCAUCAGCGACAGCCAGGCUUGGGCAGCAGGGGGCACCGGCUGGCGGGCAGGCGCAGAUGGCACUGAAAAGCACUGGUGACCUUGGUGAAACCUUGGACCUCUGAGCUGGAAACUGGGACCACAGGGAGGCCACAGCUGCAGCCCCGGGGGUGCGGCUGGCCAGCGCCCAGAAGAGUCUAGGGGAAUGUCGGCUGAGGAACUGUUACCAGUCACAUUCUGGGCCUGGACCCGGGUCACUGCCAAGGACCGCGAGGCCCCUCUUCACCUGUGUCACUGCCGGGGUCUGACCACGCCAGCUGCUCCCACCAGGCCAGUCCGGGAAGGAGAGAACAGUGCCCCCCUUGCAGGUCUAGGAGACCAGGUCCAGGGAUCGCCUUGGGGAGCUCAGCCCUGGGCUUCCUCCCUCCCUGGCUUGAGGCCCACAGCCAGAACCCCUGCCUGUGUCCCUAGAAAGGCCCCGUAACACCCAAUAUGCUUUUGCCUGCUGCGGCUCAGUCCCCAGGCUGGGCCCAGGCUCAGCACAGGCCAGAUGAGAGCAGGAGACAGGGUGGCAGGAAGGAGGCACUCCCACUCCCAGGACGUGUGGCCCCCAGGGCACCCACACUCACCUCCUAACAAGAAGUAGCAGCCGGUGAAGAAGAGGAGGACCACGCUCCGCGUCAGGGAGCCCAAGAGGCCACAGAUCCAGCCACACACGACGAGGACGAGGCUCAGGGGCAGGGUCACCAUGACAGCUCGGUGCAGGGCUGCCGGAAGAGGGGGCUCAGGGUCCCGGCUGGGACCUGGACCGGCCCCCCCUGCCCCCCACCCCUGCCGGCAGAUCCAAGUGAGCGCUGCAGAGCCCUGUCUGCCUGGAGGACCACCUUUGUGGGACAGUUUUGCCUGCAGAUGAAGGACAGACCGGGGGUGGGGGGUGGGGGAUGAGGACUCGGGCCCAGGACUCACAGAUGAGGUGCUGCACUGAGGUGGGGACAUCCAGGUUCCCGCUGGUAAAGGGAUCGAUCAGGGGGAUGCAGCUGUUUUGCCCUAAAAAGCAGAAAGGACAGAAGCUUGGGGGGCUGGACCCCUGUGGGAUCCCCAACCACCCUGGGUCCCUCUGAGAUGGGCGGUCUUGCGGGCACACUGGACAUCACGCUCUCAGCCCUGCCUGAACCCAGCGGGCUGGUCAGUGGCCACGGAGCCCCGUCAGAUUCUCUUCUGGACCCCAGAGUUUGUGACUCCAAGUGGGUUUGGAGGAUUUAAGACCUGUUUUGUUUCUGUAACGGACAAAUAUACCUACAUAGAUGUCAGUCUGAAA